rnacentral:rRNA from 1 species
UUUUACAAUGGAGAGUUUGAUCCUGGCUCAGGAUGAACGCUAGCUACAGGCUUAACACAUGCAAGUCGAGGGGAAACGACAUCGAAAGCUUGCUUUUGAUGGGCGUCGACCGGCGCACGGGUGAGUAACGCGUAUCCAACCUGCCCACCACUUGGGGAUAACCUUGCGAAAGUAAGACUAAUACCCAAUGAUAUCUCUAGAAGACAUCUGAAAGAGAUUAAAGAUUUAUCGGUGAUGGAUGGGGAUGCGUCUGAUUAGCUUGUUGGCG